rnacentral:rRNA from 1 species
AUUGAACGCUGGCGGCGUGCCUAACACAUGCAAGUCGCACGCGAAAGGGGGCAACCCCAAGUAGAGUGGCGGACGGGUGAGUAACGCGUAGGAAUCUACCUAGUAGUGGGGGACAACCCGGCGAAAGCCGGGCUAAUACCGCAUACGACCUAAGGGUGAAAGCAGGGGAUCGCAAGACCUUGCGCUAUUAGAUGAGCCUGCGUCCGAUUAGCUAGUUGGUGAGGUAACGGCUAACCAAGGCGACGAUCGGUAACUGGUUUGAGAGAACGACCAGUCACAUUGGGACUGAGACACGGCCCAAAAUCCUACGGGAGGCAGCAGUGGGGAAUAUUGGACAAUGGGGGCAACCCUGAUCCAGCGACGCCGCGUGUGUGAAGAAGGCCUUCGGGUUGUAAAGCACUUUCGGCAGGGACAAACAAGACGGAGCUAACAUCUCCGUUCCUGAUGGUACCUGAAGAAGAAGCACCGGCUAACUCUGUGCCAGCAGCCGCCGUAA